UACAGAGGGCUCAAGCGUUGUUCGGAUUCAUUGGGCGUAAAGGGUGCGUAGGCGGCGGGGUAAGUCGGGUGUGAAAUCUCAGGGCUCAACCCUGAAACUGCACUCGAUACUGCUCUGCUUGAGGACUGGAGAGGAGACUGGAAUUCACGGUGUAGCAGUGAAAUGCGUAGAUAUCGUGAGGAAGACCAGUGGCGAAGGCGGGUCUCUGGACAGUUCCUGACGCUGAGGCGCGAAGGCCAGGGGAGCAAACGGG
rnacentral:rRNA from 1 species